GGCUCGGUAGCUUAGUUGGUAAAGCACUUGUCCAGCGAAUAAGGGUCGUGUCGUGACUUCAAAUCUCACCUGAGCUG
rnacentral:tRNA from 1 species